UGGCGGCAUGCUUUACNCAUGCAAGUCGAGCGGCAGCGCGGGGGCAACCCUGGCGGCGAGCGGCGAACGGGUGAGGAAUACAUCGGAACGUGCCCCGGAGUGGGGGAUAACGCCGCGAAAGCGGCGCUAAUACCGCAUAUGCUCUGAGGAGGAAAGCGGGGGACCUGCAAGGGCCUCGCGCUCUGGGAGCGGCCGAUGUCCGAUUAGCUAGUUGGUGGGGUAAAGGCCUACCAAGGCGACGAUCGGUAGCUGGUCUGAGAGGAUGAUCAGCCACACUGGGACUGAGACACGGCCCAGACUCCUACGGGAGGCAGCAGUGGGGAAUUUUGGACAAUGGGCGAAAGCCUGAUCCAGCAAUGCCGCGUGAGUGAAGAAGGCCUUCGGGUUGUAAAGCUC
rnacentral:rRNA from 1 species